UUUUGAAAAGUGGCCCUUCUAUAGAAAGCCAUCUGGCUUUAGAUUGAUUGACAUGGAUUUUAAUGUCUUAUUCGAAACGGGAAAUGGCCUGUUAAAUAAGUGGGAGACUUGCUUAAAUAAUCUUACAUCAUUUUUAUGCAAAGAUAAUCACGUGAAAGAUAAAUCCAUAAGAGCAUACCUACAAAUGUUGAAACAGGAGACACUUUCUGAAAAUGGUCGUGAUGCAAUAGUUUUUUGGAGUCUCCAUGGUUACUUGGUUCCAACCCAAAAAAUUGUGAAAAAAGAUUUGACUGGCAAAAAAAGUACUAUAAAAUUUACUAUUAGAGAUUCUCAGGAAUCUUUUGUUUACUUUGGUAAAUCUCAUCAAGAAAUAGAGGAUCAUCUUAUGAAUC